AUUGAACGCUGGCGGCAUGCUUUACACAUGCAAGUCGAACGGCAACAGGCCGCAAGGUGCUGACGAGUGGCGAACGGGUGAGUAAUGCAUCGGAACGUGCCCAGUCGUGGGGGAAAACGAAGCGAAAGCUGUGCUAAAACCGCUAAUGAUCCAGGGAUGAAAGAGGGGGCGCGUAAGCCCUCGCUCUUCGAGCGGCGGACGUCUGAUUAGCUAGUUGGUGAGCGAAAGGCUCACCAAGGCGACGAUCAGUAGCGGGUCUGAGAGGAUGAUCCGCCACACUGGGACUGAGACACGGCCCAGACUCCUACGGGAGGCAGCAGUGGGGAAUUUUGGACAAUGGGCGCAAGCCUGAUCCAGCCAUGCCGCGUGUCUGAAGAAGGCCUUCGGGUUGUAAAGGACUUUUGUCCGGGAGCAAAUGCUGGUGGCUAACAUCCACCGGAGCUGAGAGUACCGGAAGAAUAAGCACCGGCUAACUACGUGCCAGCCGCCGCCGUAAAAC
rnacentral:rRNA from 1 species